ACCGGGAUUGCCUUAGUAACGGCGAGUGAAGCGGCAAAAGCUCAAAUUUGAAAUCUGGUACCUUCGGUGCCCGAGUUGUAAUUUGGAGAGGGCAACUUUGGGGCCGUUCCUUGUCUAUGUUCCUUGGAACAGGACGUCAUAGAGGGUGAGAAUCCCGUGUGGCGAGGAGUGCGGUUCUUUGUAAAGUGCCUUCGAAGAGUCGAGUUGUUUGGGAAUGCAGCUCUAAGUGGGUGGUAAAUUCCAUCUAAAGCUAAAUAUUGGCGAGAGACCGAUAGCGAACAAGUACAGUGAUGGAAAGAUGAAAAGAACUUUGAAAAGAGAGUGAAAAAGUACGUGAAAUUGUUGAAAGGGAAGGGCAUUUGAUCAGACAUGGUGUUUUGUGCCCUCUGCUCCUUGUGGGUAGGGGAAUCUCGCAUUUCACUGGGCCAGCAUCAGUUUUGGUGGCAGGAUAAAUCCAUAGGAAUGUAGCUUGCCUCGGUAAGUAUUAUAGCCUGUGGGAAUACUGCCAGCUGGGACUGAGGACUGCGACGUAAGUCAAGGAUGCUGGCA
rnacentral:rRNA from 1 species